GCUGGUCUGGCGCGUUCUGAUUCCUUGCCCUCAAGAAUAAAAAUGGAACUGAUAAAACAACAUCGUCUCCAUCACAUAGUUGCUUAUACACCAGUGUUACCAGUGUUACCAGUGAAGGAGUGAAGGAAUUCCAACCAUCCCUUUCUUUAUUUGUAUUUUCAGUUUUGAAAAAGGUGGAAGUGAUCAAACAAGGUUCUGUC
rnacentral:lncRNA from 1 species